rnacentral:ribozyme from 13 species
AAGAAAGAAGAAGGAGAGAAAGAAGAAGCAGGAGAGAAAGAAGAAGAAUUAUCUCAUGGAGCUUUCUUUUCUGGCCCUUUGGUCUUUUUGGGUUUUAUUUUUU